AAAAUAAUUUGAAAAAUUAAAAUAUACUUAAUUAAUAUUAAAAUAAUAAAAUAAUUUUAUUUUAAAAACAUCUAUUCUUAUAUUAUAUAAAAGAAUAAUUAAUAAUAUAAUUGAUAAACCUAAGUGCCAGCAAUCGCGGUUAUACUUAUAAUUUUAUUAUAUUUUAAAUUAUUAAAAUUAAUAAAUCUAUUUACUAAUUAAUACAAAGUAAAAUUUAAUUAAAUAAACAUAAAAUUAAUUAAUUAAUAUAAAUUUUAAAUUUAAAAUAGGAUUAGAUACCCUAGUAUAUUAAAAAGUUUAGGUAGUAAAAAAAUUUCUUAAAACCUUAUUAUAAUGGCGGCAUUUCAUCUUAUUAAAGGAACCUGUUUUUUAAUCGACAACCCACGUUAAUUUUAACUUUAAUUAUAAAAUUUAUAUACCGCCAUCUAAAAAACUAAUUUUAUAAUAAUAUUUUUAAUAAAAAAUAAAAAGUUAGGUCAAGGUGUAAUCUAUGUUAAAGUAAAUAAUGGGUUACAUUAAAAAUAAUUUAAGGAUUAACAUAUUAAAAUAUAUUAUAAAAAAGGAUUUAAAAGUAAUAAAAUAAUAAUAUUUUAUUAUGAUUCAGAUAAUAAAUGUGUACAUAUCGCCCGUCACCCUUAUCAAAAGGUAAGGUAAGUCGUAACAUAGUUGAUAUUUUGGAAAAAGUAUCAA
rnacentral:rRNA from 1 species